GCCCGGUUAGCUCAGCUGGUUAGAGCGUCGUACUAAUACCGUCGAGAGACAGUAGAUAGUCUAUGCGAAGGUCAACAGUUCAAUCCUGUUACUGGGCA